GAGGAAGAAUGAUAAAGGAGGAGGAGGAAGAGGAAGAGGAAGAAAAAAAAAAUGAAAAUAAAAAGGUCACAAAGGUCAAGAAAGUGGUAAGAAAAGGUCAAGUAAGCCAUUAAAAAGAUAACACAGAAAGGUCAAAGGUCAGAAAAAGGUCGGGUGAGCUAUGAAAUAAGGCAAAAAAAGGUCAGAGGUCAGAAAGGUCACACAGGUCAUGAAAAAGACUAAGAACAAGGUCAGAAAAGGUCAGGUGAGCUA